AUUUAUAUGUUGAGGAUUUGUUAGAAAAAGUUUCAAUUUUUGUCUUAUUAAACUAUCCAACGUUAAUUAAUUUUGCAGGAUCUCAGAGAAUGAAGGAUCCCAAUUUUUCACAAAAGAGGUGCUCAGAAAAACCAAGACAGACCAGUGACUAAGAUGUGUAACUGUGUGUUAGAAAAUCAAGAGGAGUUUAAACAGUUAAGAAAGGAAAUUAAAGAAAUGAAGGCUCAUCAAAUUCAGCUCUCUGAAAAAGAGAAAGAUAAUUCAACAUCUGUUCUUUUAGAAUUACCAAGAGGUAUUGAGUUCCAGCUUUCUUCGGAUGAUGAUCUUAAUCAAUUAGAGGAAAAGUUGAAAGAAGAUAAGAAUUUACAGUUUGCUUAUUCAGUAUUUUGACUCCAUAUGCCGGCAUUGUGACUGAGGCGAAAAGAAAAGUCCUCAUUUGAAAGAGUGCCUGCCAUCACUAAUGUUAUUUGGCUACAGUUCUCAAACGUUUUGAGGCCCAAGAGCUUGCGGAAAAAUUUGGGAAAGUCUGCUACAGCCACUGAUUGGAACGGACGAAAAUCUAAGAUAAUUGACGUGACCAAUUUUUUGGAUUUGGAGACCCAAGAAUGGGCCAAUUUGUUUUACUAAAUUUUUAAUGUUUAUUCAAAUAAAAUAUUCAUAGCUAC